CUCGUCAAGGUGUAUUGGUGAGACUAACAAACGAAGAAACAAACAGGCGUAAAUGUGAAUUUUGCAAAUUGGUUAUAGAGAAAAUGAACUUGAACAAAAGUAUCAAAACUGACGUGAAAACAUGUAAAAAGUUGUGCUUGCUACCUUAUGAUUGGUGCAACCAAAUGGCAAUAAAAUGUAAAGAAAUCAUUUGCUGAAUCUUAUGUAUUAUUUAUAUUUUUUGAAUUUUUUAAAACAAUAUAUAUUUUUUGAAAAUGUAAAGUAGAACAAAAUAUCGAGCAAAAACAAAAAUGCGAAAGUUUUUGUUGCAGUUUAUGAUGGGUAUUAUCUUGUAUUACUUAAAUAUAAAAUAUAUAAUAUUAAAUCAU
rnacentral:lncRNA from 1 species